UACGGGGGGGGCAAGCGUUGUUCGGAAUUACUGGGCGUAAAGGGCUCGUAGGUGGCCAACUAAGUCAGACGUGAAAUCCCUCGGCUUAACCGGGGAACUGCGUCUGAUACUGGAUGGCUUGAGUUUGGGAGAGGGAUGCGGAAUUCCUGGUGUAGCGGUGAAAUGCGCAGAUAUCAGGAGGAACACCGGUGGCGAAGGCGGUUCUCUGGGCAUUACCUGACGCUGAGGAGCGAAAGUGUGGGGAGCGAACAGG
rnacentral:rRNA from 1 species